rnacentral:rRNA from 1 species
UUGGAGGGCAAGUCUGGUGCCAGCAGCCGCGGUAAUUCCAGCUCCAAUAGCGUAUAUUAAAGUUGUUGCAGUUAAAAAGCUCGUAGUUGAAUUUCGGGGUUCUACCGUUGGUCGGGCUAACCAGUCUGUACUAGCGUGUAGAAUUCCUACCUUCUGGGGAACCAUCAUGUUAUUAAUUUAGCGUGGUGGGAAACCAGGACCUUUACCUUGAAAAAAUUAGAGUGUUCAAAGCAGGCUUACGUCUGAAUACAUUAGCAUGGAAUAAUAAAAUAGGACGGUGGUCCUGUUUUGG